GACGAACGCUGGCGGCGUGCCUAAUACAUGCAAGUAGAACGCUGAAGAGAGGAGCUUACUCUUCUUGGAUGAGUUGCGCACGGGUGAGUAACGCGUAGGUAACCUGCCUUGUAGCGGGGGAUAACUAUUGGAAACGAUAGCUAAUACCGCAUAACAAUGGAUGACACAUGUCAUUUAUUUGAAAGGGGCAAUUGCUCCACUACAAGAUGGACCUGCGUUGUAUUAGCUAGUAGGUGAGGUAAUGGCUCACCUAGGCGACGUUACAUAGCCGACCUGAGAGGGUGAUCGGCCACACUGGGACUGAGACACGGCCCAGACUCCUACGGGAGGCAGCAGUAGGGAAUCUUCGGCAAGGGGGGCAACCCUGACCGAGCAACGCCGCGUGAGGGAAGAAGGUUUUCGGAUCGUAAAGCUCUGUUGUAAGUCAAGAACGGGUGUGAGAGUGGAAAGUUCACACUGUGACGGUAGCUGACCAGAAAGGGACGGCUAACUACGUG
rnacentral:rRNA from 1 species